rnacentral:tRNA from 1 species
ACUGAAAUAGCUCAAAAAGAGUAUUGCUUUGAAGCAGCAAAGGUGGUUAGUUUAUACCUUUUAGUA